AUUGAACGCUGGCGGCAGGCCUAACACAUGCAAGUCGAACGAGUGGCGGACGGGUGAGUAAUGGCGGGGAAACUGCCUGAUGGAGGGGGAUAACUACGGGAAACGGUAGCUAAUACCGCAUACCAUCGGAUGAGACCAGAUGGGAUUAGCGUGUAGGUGGGGUAACGGCUUACCGAGGCGACGAUCCCUAGCUGGUCUGAGAGGAUGACCAGCCAUGCUGGGACUUAGACACGGUCCCGACUCCUACGGAAGGCAGCAGUGGGGAAUAUUGCACAAUGGGCGCAAGCCUGAUGCAGACAUGCCGCGUGUAUGAAGAAGCCCUUCGGGUUGUAAAGUCCUUUCAGCGGUGAGGCGUUACCCGCAGAAUAAGCACCGGCUAACUCCGUGCCAGCCGCCGCGGUAAUAC
rnacentral:rRNA from 1 species